CAGCAAAUUUCUGAUUCUCUGUAACCUCCGAUUACAAAGAUGAUCGAAUCGAUGUUCAUAAAACACCCAAACAAUCCACUAGAUCUCGAAGUGAGAUUUCUAGCCACAAAAUGUUCUCAGAGAUUCUAAGGAAUUACAGAUAUUCGAUAAAAGUAAAGGAAUGAGCUAAAACAGUGCUCAUAUAGUCGGCUAACGGCAUCUUUCAGUCCCUCACUCUGCAGAUGACACGUGCUCGCCUCUUAUUCUUUCCCAAUUCCCACUUGAUGUCGCACGUGACUACUCACACGUGUGGUUUUGUAUCAUACUUGUUGGAUAAGUUGUGUUGUUUCACUGAAAAGUCACAAAUAGGAAGUGACACACCAACAAGUUUCAGUUCAAUAAAGGGUUAUUUUUGUUCUUGUCUUCUUUAGAAGAGAAGAGACAAAUGUCUCUUGCUUUGUUUUUCCUUUUUAUCUCAAUAUUCCAACAUGCAGGUACAACGUCUAUCCGACCAGUUGAGCGAAGAAAUACUCCACCGAUCUCCGUCGAUGUCCAUAACCAGGAAGAAUCGGAAGAGAAGCCUCUCGUCUCUAAGAAAGGGCCACCUCUGUCACGCUAAUCGGAAUCCACACCACUCCAAUGCCGGAGAAGAUAGCUUGCCUCACUCCUGCUUCGUCUUGUAAAUCCAAGACCUACGAUAAAGAACAGAGGCGAAAACAAACUAGAUCUAAGAACUUGGAAAAAGCUUUAAAGAGAGAGAGAAAAAGGAACGGUAGAGGAACGAUUGUCCUUCCCGUUUGUGUUAUGUUGACUAAUUCAAUAUAUUUGGUUUAUAUCGAAUUUUUUACUUUAGUUGUACAUGAGCUUUGACAAAAAAAAAAAUUUUAAUUUAAAACAAAUUCUUCGUUAACAUCCCAAAUGGGCUUUGACAAAGAUUUGAUUUUCUUGUAUCAUUAUCUUCUAAGAAUAUAUGAUUUAGGCGU